rnacentral:misc_RNA from 1 species
UUCUUUCGUUCUUUCUUUCUUUUUUUUUUUGUCCAGAACGAGGCAACAGCCCUUCCUCAUGCUUUGUUUGUGGUUUGAGAGUUUCAACCUAUUGUGUCUCAUUUUCUCUCACACACCUUUCCAUCUAAAAUUUGCUUUCUACAAAUCUUUUACUUCUUGUCUCCUGAGCUAACAUCAUCAACUAUCUUUCUAGUUCUUUAUGCAGAGCAUGUUCAUGUGGAAG